rnacentral:miRNA from 1 species
GGAUAGGUGGGUUUCAUUGA